rnacentral:rRNA from 1 species
AUUGAACGCUAGCGGGAUGCCUUACACAUGCAAGUCGAACGGAGUGGCGAACGGGUGAGUAAUGUAUCGGAACGUGCCCAGUAGCGGGGGAUAACUACGCGAAAGCGUAGCUAAUACCGCAUACUAUUGGAGCGGCCGAUAACGAAUUCGCUAGUUGGUGGGGUAACGGCUCACCACGGCGAGGAUCCGUAGCUGGUUUGAGAGGACGACCAGCCACACUGGGACUGAGACUAGGCCCAGACUCCUACGGGAGGGAUCAGUGGGGAAUUUUGGACAAUGGGCGAAACCCUGAUCCAGCCAUCCCGCGUGUGCGAUGAAGGCCUUCGGGUUGUAAAGCACUUUUGGCAGGAAAGCGGUACCUGCAGAAUAAGCACCGGCUAACUCCGUGCCAGCAGCCGCGGUAAUUC